GACGAAGGUGGCGAGCGUUGUUCGGAAUCACUGGGCAUAAAGCGCACGUAGGCGGUGCCGUAAGUCGGAUGUGAAAUCCCUCGGCCUAACCGAGGGACUGCGUCCGAUACUGCGGUGCUUGAGGAUCAGAGGGGUGCAUGGAAUUUCCGGUGGAGCGGUGAAAUGCGUUGAUAUCGGAAGGAACUCCGGCGGCGAAAGCGAUGCACUGGCUGAUUUCUGACGCUGAGGUGCGAAAGCCAGGGGAGCAAACGGG
rnacentral:rRNA from 1 species